UCCCUGGAAGAUUAGUGGUUAGGCCUCGGUGCUCUCACCGCUGUGGCCUGGGUUCGAUUCCCGACCAGUGCU